rnacentral:rRNA from 1 species
CGGCAAGGGUCUUCGGGCCCCUAGAGCGGCGGACGGGUGAGUAACACGUGGACAAUCUGCCCCCCGGCCGGGGAUAGCCCAGGGAAACCUGGAUUAAUACCGGAUGAGACGGGACCCGCGGAGGCGGGAUCCGGGAAAGGCGCUGCGGCGCCGCCGGGGGAUGAGUCUGCGUCCCAUUAGCUUGACGGCGGGGUAACGGCCCACCGUGGCGACGAUGGGUAGCCGGCCUGAGAGGGUGGACGGCCACAUUGGAACUGAGACACGGUCCAGACUCCUACGGGAGGCAGCAGCUAAGAAUCUUCCGCAUGGGCGAAAGCCUGACGGAGCGACGCCGCGUGAACGAAGAAGGCCGUGAGGUUGUAAAGUUCUUUUCGGGAGGGGGAACAACCGUGGCAGGGAAUGGCCGCGGGAUGACGUGAAUCCCGGAAUAAGCCCCGGCUAACUACGUGCCAGCAGCCGCGGUAACACGUAGGGGGCGAGCGUUGUUCGGAAUCAUUGGGCGUAAAGGGCGUGCAGGCGGUCCUGCAAGUCCGGCGUGAAAGACCCCGGCCCAACCGGGGGGGCGCGCUGGAAACUGCAGGGCUUGAGUACAGGAGGGGAUGCCGGAAUUCCAGGUGUAGGGGUGAAAUCUGUAGAUAUCUGGAGGAACACCAAUGGCGAAGGCAGGCAUCUGGCCAUGUACUGACGCUGAGACGCGAAGGUGCGGGGAGCAAACAGGAUUAGAUACCCUGGUAGUC